UCUAGGACUGGGGCUUGAAGUUGGACUUGCCUCCGUUUCCAUUCCUAGGUUCUAGUUUUGGGGCUUUUCAGCUUCUGAACUUGGGGGAAUUUCCCCUUGUGUUCAUGGCCUGAGAAUUUCAAGGUAUUUGUGGCUUUGAGAGUUCAGAUUCAACAGCCCAGUAGCAGCUGGUGUCAGGAAAAUCUUGACAGCUUUCCUUUACUCCAGGCGUUUGCCUCUCAUUUCAACCUGCAGCAGAUGGAAACGGUGGCUGCUGUGAGCCAAGCAUUGAGCUGGGGUCGGGGUAGGGAUACAGUGAUGACUAGAUCCAGUUAUUUUCCUCAAGGAGGGAACAUUCUCCUCUACACUGUUGACCUGAAUCAUUUUCUUCUGUAAUCAGGGAGCUGGUGUUUUUAAUCAUUUUAAUAACAGUAAUAAAAAUGACUGUCAUGUAUUAAACACCUCCUAUUAACCAGGCAUUUGCCUGAGCAAUUUAUAUAUGCUACUUCUUCCCACAAUUUUGGGCCGCAUAUGUUAUUAUCCACAUUUUGUAUAUGAGGAACUAGGCCCAGAGAGGUUAAGGAUCCCACUCAGUCACACAGGCAGCUGGAAACUGACUUCAGAUAUGUUACAUUCCCUUUUUAUAUCUUCUCUGCUAAGGGCCACCUUCCUGUAAAGUACUGGUUUUCUGCAGGGGAAAUGGCGCUUAGAUGGUGGGCUGGAAGAAAUUGUCUCGCUCAAUCCUCUGUAGCUCCUUUCAAAGCCUCCUUUCAGAGCUCCCGUAUUUAGAAACUUCAAGACUUAGGACUUUAUAUAAAUAUAUAUCUUUUGCUUAAGGGUUCUGCGUGUUCCUCUAUGCCUUAUGUGGUUUAGUAGGCUGAUUUUCUCCUUAUGUUGAGAAAUAGCAUAUUUCUUCCAAAAAAUAGCAGAUCUGUUCAUGUUAACGCCCUUGCUUGGAAACCUUUGUUGGCUUCCCCUUACAAGCAAGAGAGGGUUCAGAUCCCUUUGCGUGGGCGAAGGGGCCUUUCACAGCCUAGCUCCUGCUCUCCAUCCUCCUCUCUCACUCCUAAUAUCAGUCAGGAAAGGCUGGGCCUUGCUGCCCUAACAAACAACCCUGUCAUCUCAGUGGCUUACCCCAGGGAAGUUUAUUUCUCAUUCACCGUGGGUCUGCAGGGGAGUUCCAUUUCACCGUGGACUUGGGUUGAAGAAGGCUUCAUCUUGAUGCUUGCUUCUCAUUACUGUCUUGGCUGGGGGAAGUGCAGACAGCAAAUCAUUCACUGGCUCUCAACAUCCACCUGGAAGUGACACACUGCACUCCUGCACGUGCAUCCUUGGCCAGGGCCAUUCACGUGGCCAUGCUUAACUUGAAAUCUCUGUAAUCCUGCCAAGGGUCUUGAAGGGAGAGAGUCAGGAAUAUUUGGGGAACAACACUAAUGACAGGAAUAGUCUCCCCUUCUGUUCACCAAAUGUUUGGCUUACUGUCCUCCCAUGGGCAGAAUUCCCUCACUUUCUCCUCCAGGGGGAUGACCCCAAAGACCCAUCUAAUCAUAGUAUAUCACACUUACUUUCCACAUUCUGAGUGAUGCGAGUAGACUCUGUUUCAGCUCCAGGUAUGUCUCUUCAUCCAAAGACAAGAUGCCUGCCUGGGAUGGCCUCCGUAGGUAACAGUGGGACAGAGACAGGAUAACUGCGGUGGACACACCAAUUGACAGUGAAGGGAUGGGACACCACAGUGGACACUAAUCCACAGAGCAGGCAUGCUGGGGACCCUCCACCCGGCACCCGGAUUAGACCUUGAUUCUGCCCCCUGAGUGUAGCUGCCUGAGCCCUUGUUUCUCAUGACCCCUGGGCUUGCCCUCCGUGUCUUCCUUCUCUGCAUCUAAAGUGGGUACAGCAAAUAGGCGUUUAAAUCAGCUUUUAGAAAUUGUGGGUGGGGUGGGGAAACAGGGUGAUAUUAAGUCUCAAAUAUGGUCUCCCCUAAUCCAGGCUGAUGUUCUUUUGGCAGUAUAACUCUCCCCCAAAUGUAGGUUUCCUAUGUAUUUGAUUCCAGGUGUUCCGUGUGCCAAGAGCCACAGCCAGUUCUUUCCUAGACAUGCCUCUAUGGUUUGCCAUAUUUCUUUGCUUUCUUGCUCUCAUGCCUGCUAAUCUCUCUCUCUCUCUUUCAUAUUGUUAUCAUCCCCACCCUCACCCCCCACCCCCCCCCCUGCCUCUCUCUCUCCCUUUCUCUCCUGCCCUCUCUCUCUCUGGUCUUGACUUGGUUUUGAGUGCUUUGGGCUUAUUGGACUUGGGUGGCAGAGUCAUACUUUUCCUUCCUGUUCCAGAGCCCUUUUCUCUAAUUGAAAGCAUGUGCCGGGUAACGUCUUAAUUUAUCCAGAGGUUUUAACAAUAGGUUUGAGGCCAUUUCUUUGACUGGAGCCAUACUUCAGGGCUGAUUUUAAUUGGUCUCUUCUUGCUGAAAAUCUUUCUUAAUCUGAUAUUUUACUAGUUGAGAUUGAGAAACAACACAUUUCUCUGAAUGUGUAUGUCGUCCCCACUGUCUUUUAUUUCUACUUGCAAACUGGCCAAAUCUUCUCUGAGCUCGUCUCUUUUCUAUAAUAAGUUUCUAAAUCCAAGAGCCACCAACACAUGCUACAGACAUUUUGUCUUACAAUAUUUUGCUUUAGUUCAUUAGGUUCAUUUGGUUCAUUAGGUUCACCUCCUAAAUGAUCACAGGUGAUAAAUUCAUCGGAUAGAUCACCAUCCUUUUACCUUCUGAUAUCAGUGUUCUUUACUGCCCUGUACACAAAUGUUUCUUUUCUUGCUGUUGUUAUUACAUUAUCCCAUGUCAAGGUGCCACUUUUUAUAUCCAUCAGGAUGGGUGAGGUUUGCCACCGUAACAAUCCUAAUAUCUCCUUGGCUUAACCAAAAAUUUUAUUUCUUGCUCAUACUAUAUGUUCAAGGUCAGAGGAGCUUCUCUCGAUAUACUCACUCAGAGACAGUCCGAAGAAGGUUUCAUCCUGAAAUAUGUGUGCUUCCACAAGCAUCCCAACCACCUUGACAAGGAAGAGAAAGCAUGGUGAUUCCAUAAUGGCUUUAGAACUUCCUCCUGGAGGAGCUCCCCUGUGGCUCAGUGGGUUAAGGAUCCAGCGUUGCUGCAAGCUGCCUUGUACUUAACAUAUGCGGCUCAGAUCCUGUGUUGCCGUGGCUGUGGCAUAGGCCAGCAGCUGCAACUCUGAUUCAACCCAUAGCCGGGGAACUUCCAUGUGUCAAGAGCUGGAAAUGCACACCUCUGUAUAGGCCAGGUUACGCUCUGGUAGCAAGCCAAAAAUCUUACUGGAUGACAACCACGGAAUGAUUUCUCACUCGUGUUGCAUGCCUAUUAUGGGUUGGCUGUGUCUCUGCUUCACACAGAUCAUCUUUGCACCAGGGACCUUUUCUGAAACAUUGCUGAUUGUCGUGGCAGGAAAAAAAGAACACUGAGAGCAGUUUAUGUGGCCAAGCCUGUUGUCGGUGGGGGCGGGGCAGCAAGUAUUUGCAAAUAGUAAUACAGUCUACCACACCCUACACUACACAUUCCUUCCAUUCCUAUGAGCCUCAGCUACCUUAAACAUUUUCCAUACCUCUAACAUUUUCCUGUCUUUCCAUUUAUUUCUAUCCUUAGUCAGAAUGCCACCUGGAAAACUCCUACUCACCCUUCAACACCCUGCUCAAAUGAUUGCUCCUCUGAAGCUUGCUGUUACCCUGUCUCCCACCCUCCUCUCAAAUAGUUAUUAUCUUUUUUGGCUCUCACCACACUGGGUACACACCUGAAGCUGAGAACAUUCAUCAUGUGUUCUUACAAAUAUCUCUUUACAACCCUGACUCUGAAUCCAGAAACUGUUUUAUUCGCUUUUGUAUUUUCCAAUGUUUAAUGCAGUGCCUGGCAUGUGGAAAGAUAGAAGGUGCUCAAUAAAUGCUUGUUUGUGGAUUUCUUAAAAAGAGCCUUUUCUCUAGUGGAAUUAGUGGGGUGUUUACUAGUCAAAGAGAAACAGAACUUUUUAAAAUUUAUCUUAUUGAAGUAUAGUUGAUUUACAAUAAUGUGUUAAUUAUAGCAAAAUGAUUCAUAUAUAUAUGCAUCCUUUUUCAUAUUCUUUUCCGUUAUGAUUUAUCAUAUAAUAUUGAAUAUAGUUACCUGUGCUAUACAGUAGGGCUUUGUUUAUCCAUUCUUUUUUUUUUUUUUUAAUUUUCCCACUGUACAGCAAGGGGGUCAGGUUAUCCUUACAUGUAUACAUUGCAAUUACAGUUUUUCCCCCACCCUUUCUUCUGUUGCAACAUGAGUAUCUAGACAUAGUUCUCAAAGUUUAUCCAUUCUAUAUAAUAGUUUACUAAUCUCAAACUUCCAGUCCAUCCCUCCAUCUUUCUCCCCCUUGGCAAUCACAAGUUUGUUCUCUAUGUCUGUGAGUCUGUUUCUGUUUUGUAGAUAAGUUCAUUUGUGUCAUAAUUUAGAUUCCACAUAUAAGUGGUAUCACAUGGUAUUUGUCUUUCUCUUCUGAUUUACUUCAUUUAGUAUGAUAAUCUCUAGUCCAUUCAUGUUGCUGCAAAAGGCAUUGUUUCAUUAUUUUUUGUGGCUGAGUAAUAUUCCAUUGUGCAUGCAUACGCAUAUGUGUCGUCUUUAUACAUUUAUCUGUUAAUGGACAUUUAGUUUGUCUUCAUAUCUUGAUUAUUGUAAAUAAUGUUGCUGUGAAUGUAGCAGCGUAUGUAUCUUUUUGAAUUAGAAUUUUCUCUGGAUAUAUGCCUGGGCGUGGUAUUAACAGUAACUUGUUUUAUUUUAUUCAUUUUUUUGUUGUUUUUUUUUUGUUUGUUUGUUUUUUAGGGCUGCACUUGUGGCACAUGGAGGUUCCCAGGCUAGGGGUCUAAUCAGGGCUACAGCUGCUGGCCUACGCCAGAGCCACAGCAACGCUAGAUCCAAGCCGAGUCUGCAACUGACACCACAGCUCAUGGCAAUGCCGGAUCCUUAACCCACUGAGUGAGGCCAGGGAUUGAACCCGCAACCUCAUGGUUCCUAGUCAGGUUUGUUUCCACUGUGCCAUGAUGGGAACUCCCCAUUUUCUUUUCUUUUUAAGGCAUAUGGAUGUUCCCAAGCUAGGGGUCAAAUUGGAGCUGCAGCUGAGGCCUCUGUUACAGACACAGCAACACACGAUCCAAGCCACAUCUGAGACCUACACUUGUAGCAAUGCUGGAUCCUUAACCCACUUAGUGAGGCCAGGGAUUAAACCUGCAUCCUCCUACAGACUAUGUCAGGUCCUUAACCCACUGAGCCACAGUGGGAACUCCAAUAACUUGUUUUAAUACAGAAAACUUGGAACAUGUCAAAUCACCCUGCUGAACCCUCUCUAAGCACAUCCUAUUGGACAUGGGCUAAAACCCCAAUUCUUUAUUUUGCCUAUAAGAUCUCACAUGAUCUGAGCUCUCCUACCAGCCUAGGUAGGAUAUUCAGGGUAAUUUUGUUUGUACAUUUCCCCUUACUGUCUGCAGCCACACUGGCUAUGACUGUCUCAGUCAGGAUAGCCUAGGUUUUGCUUU
rnacentral:lncRNA from 1 species